UGCUUCUGACCAGGAUGAGACAAUGUGGC
rnacentral:piRNA from 1 species